GCUCAUAACAACAUCUGAUGAAAGUUUAUGGGUGGAUAUGUGUGAUAACAUCAUUUGAAUCCUGCUAGCUAAGAACUUAACUCUUUUCCAUUCAAGAACAAACAACUUCCACCUUUCAAAAAAGAUUUCCUAAAAAGAGAGAAGAAACCAUCCAGUAUUUGGGCUAAGAAAUGGGACAUAAGAGAUCCAGUCAAAGCAUGGAGAAAGUACCCAAAAUAUAGAGCAAGGCACUGA